rnacentral:rRNA from 1 species
UACGGGGGGUGCAAGCGUUGUUCGGAUUUACUGGGCGUAAAGGGCGCGUAGGCGGUCAGCACAAGUCAGUUGUGAAAUCUCCGGGCUUAACUCGGAAAGGUCAACUGAUACUGUGCGACUAGAGUGCGGAAGGGGCAACUGGAAUUCUCGGUGUAGCGGUGAAAUGCGUAGAUAUCGAGAGGAACACCUGCGGCGAAGGCGGGUUGCUGGGCCGACACUGACGCUGAUGCGCGAAAGCCAGGGGAGCGAACGGG